UGGAAGAGUCUCUCUGUUUAUCAAUAACGUGACUGUUGCUGACGAAAGGGCUAAUGGAGAAUUUAUGUGUGACAUAAUUGAUUUCAAUGUUGACAUUUGGAGGCGAACAAUUCGAGUUGAAGUCAUAGGUAAGCUUGAAAGUGCCACUGAUCUUGGAAUGAAGGCAUGCGACACCUCAGGGGAGUCUGGCACAUCUCUAUUUUGUCUGAAUGGUCCCAGCAAAGGUAACUAACAUUACUGGC